UACGUAGGGGGCGAGCGUUGUCCGGAAUCAUUGGGCGUAAAGCGCGUGUAGGCGGCUCGGCAAGUCCGGUGUGAAAGCUCGAGGCUCAACCUCGAGUCUGCACUGGAAACUGCCUUGCUAGAGUCCGGAAGAGGAGACUGGAAUUCCUGGUGUAGCGGUGAAAUGCGCAGAUAUCAGGAAGAACACCGGUGGCGAAGGCGGGUCUCUGGGACGGUACUGACGCUGAGACGCGAAAGCGUGGGGAGCAAAC
rnacentral:rRNA from 1 species